GACGAACGCUGGCGGCGUGCUUAACACAUGCAAGUCGAACGGAAAGGCCCUUAGGGGUACUCGAGUGGCGAACGGGUGAGUAACACGUGGGUGAUCUGCCCUGCACUUUGGGAUAAGCCUGGGAAACUGGGUCUAAUACCGAAUAGGACCACGCGCUUCAUGGUGUGUGGUGGAAAGCUUUUGCGGUGUGGGAUGGGCCCGCGGCCUAUCAGCUUGUUGGUGGGGUAAUGGCCUACCAAGGCGACGACGGGUAGCCGGCCUGAGAGGGUGACCGGCCACACUGGGACUGAGAUACGGCCCAGACUCCUACGGGAGGCAGCAGUGGGGAAUAUUGCACAAUGGGCGCAAGCCUGAUGCAGCGACGCCGCGUGAGGGAUGACGGCCUUCGGGUUGUAAACCUCUUUCACCAGGGACGAAGCGUAAGUGACGGUACCUGGAGAAGAAGCACCGGCCAACUACGUG
rnacentral:rRNA from 1 species